ACUACCUACGGGAGGCAGCAGUGGGGAAUAUUGCACAAUGGGGGGAACCCUGAUGCAGCGACGCCGCGUGAGUGAAGAAGUAUCUCGGUACGUAAAGCUCUAUCAGCAGGGAAGAAAAUGACAGUACCUGACUAAGAAGCCCCGGCUAACUACGUGCCAGCAGCCGCGGUAAUACGUAGGGGGCAAGCGUUAUCCGGAUUUACUGGGUGUAAAGGGAGCGCAGACGGCAAGGCAAGUCUGAUGUGAAAGUCCGAGGCUCAACCUCGGGACUGCAUUGGAAACUGUCUGGCUAGAGUGCAGGAGAG
rnacentral:rRNA from 1 species